rnacentral:rRNA from 1 species
UACAGAGGGUGCGAGCGUUAAUCGGAAUUACUGGGCGUAAAGCGCACGUAGGCGGCUUUGCAAGUCGGGUGUGAAAUCCCCGGGCUCAACCUGGGAACUGCAUCCGAGACUGCUUUGCUCGAGUAUGGGAGAGGGAAGUGGAAUUUCCGGUGUAGCGGUGAAAUGCGUAGAUAUUCGCAAGAACACCAGUGGCGAAGGCGGCUCACUGGCCCGGUACUGACGCUGAGGUGCGAAAGCGUGGGGAGCAAACAGG